rnacentral:rRNA from 1 species
GUCUACAGCCAUGCCACCCUGAACAAGCCCGAUCCCAUAUGAUCUCAGAAGCUAAGCAGGGUUGGGCCUGGUUAGUACUUGGAUGGGAGACCACCUAGGAAGACCAGUUGCUAUAGGCU